GACGAACGCUGGCGGCGUGCUUAACACAUGCAAGUGGAGCGACGAACCAGGGCUUGCCCUGGGGCAGAGCCGCGAACGGGUGAGUAACACGUGGGUAACGUGCCCCAAUGAUCGGGACAACCCGGAGAAACCCGGGCUAAUACCGAAUGUGCUUCCCUCACACCAGUGAGGGAUGGAAAGGAAGCUUCGGCCUCCGCCUUUGGAUCGGCCCGCGGCCCAUAAGCUUGUUGGUGAGGUAACGGCUCACCAAGGCUGCGAUGGGUAGCUGGUCUGAGAGGACGAUCAGCCACACUGGGACUGAGACACGGCCCAGACUCCUACGGGAGGCAGCAGUGGGGAAUCUUGCGCAAUGCGCGAAAGCGUGACGCAGCAACGCCGCGUGGGGGAAGAAGGCCUUCGGGUUGUAAACCCCUUUCAGGAGGGACGAAGCGUGGGCGGUUAAUAGCCGACUCACGUGACGGUACCUCCAGAAGAAGCCUCGGCUAACUACGUGCCAGCCGCCGCCGUAA
rnacentral:rRNA from 1 species